AGCUAAUAGAUACCCAGGUAGUCCACGCCUAACGAUGUCUACUAGUUGUUGGUGGAGUAAAAUACCAUGAGUAAACGCAGCUAACGCGUGAAGUAGACCGCCUGGGGAGGUACGGUCGCAAGAAUUAAAACUACAAAGGAAUUGGCGGGGGCCCGGCACAAGCGGUGGAUUAUGUGGAUUAAUUCGAUGCAACGCGAAAACCUUACCUGGCCUUGACAUGCCACUAACGAAGCAGAGAUGCAUUAGGUGCCCGUAAGGGAAAGUGGACACAGGUGCUGCAUGGCUGUCGUCAGCUCGUGUCGUGAGAUGUUGGGUUAAGUCCCGCAACGAGCGCAACCCUUGCCAUUAAUUGCCAUCAUUUAGUUGGGCACUUUAAUGGGACUGCCGGUGACAAACCGGAGGAAGGUGGGGAUGACGUCAAGUCCUCAUGGCCCUUAUGGCCAGGGCUUCACACGUAAUACAAUGGUCGGUACAGAGAAUUGCCAACCCGCGAGGGGAGCUAAUCUCAGAAAGCCGAUCGUAGUCCGGAUUGUUCUCU
rnacentral:rRNA from 1 species